AGCGUGUUAAUAGCUGCCCAUAUCCGUCAAAAACUGAAGAACUGGAAAGGCUUGGUUUGAAAUCUGAAAUUAAUAAAAGGCCAUCCUUAGAGAAUAGCAAGCCAAAAGAGAGCAGAAAAAAGGGGAAAGUAAGUGAAAAAAGAAAAUUUGAAGAAAUCAGGAGUCCUAGCUGUUCGUGCAAGCAGCCUAAGAAGCAGCAAAAGUUGCAAAAGCAUGAAGCAUCACCGAAUUGUUUCCUAAGUAUUGGUAAGCUGGAGAAUUUUGUAACAACAUGGAAGGAAACAUGUCGUGAGCAUCCAGUUCAACAGGUAUGUACUCAUAAUUGAAUCUAUGUUUUCAUUAAAUAAUUGUGAAGCUGAGUAAUCUAAUGAGGCUGCAAGCGUACAACCUCCCUUUUCUCUACCGAAUUGCUCUGUCUGGGCUUAUCCUGUUUCUAGAACUAAUUUGAUUGUACCUGUAACUGAUGCAGGUUCUGGAAAUGUUAGCAAAUUACUAUGGAAGAACACCAACAGAGAAGAAGGGAAUAAUAAAUUUCUGCUCACAGUACCCAGGCAUUGGCCUUCUCAAUGUUGCUGUGAGUUGAUUAUCCUCCUUUAUUCAUUUGACUUGAAUUGUGAAUCUUUACUGUAGUUACUAUCCAUUAAUUGCCUUUGACCUGCAUUUUCUGCGUGAUAAUAACACACAAAUUAGGAACUGGUUGGCCUGAUUUUCGAUUUGUCUAGUCAUGUAGUUCCCUCAAGUUGUCUUAUACAAUGUUUUCAAGGCGUCGCUUAAGCGCCAAGGCGCUGCACACACGACGCCAUAGCAGACGACUCGCCUUAGAUUCCACACUAGUGAGCAGGAGAGCGGGAGGGAGAGAGCAGGCGCGCAGAAGAUUUCACAGCAGUGAGCGGGAGAGCGGGAGGGGAACUCACCUGUGCUGACGGGAGAAGUUGCCGACUGACCACCGCCGAGCCGUGCGGGCCGCGGCAAGGAGCGGCCUGCGGGCCAUGGCCAUCUUCCCCUAAUCGGUACUGGCCUGCAGCAUCCCGCUUCCUCUGUUCCUCUUCCUCCAUCGAGAGAGAGAGAGAGGUGGGUGGAGGCGGAGGCGGAACGGGAGGGAAGAGACCGAGAUGGGUUGAGACGGAAGUCAAAAC
rnacentral:lncRNA from 1 species